ACAAAAAAAAAAAUAGGCUUGAGAAGCGAAGCUGAGGCAGCUUUUACACAUACCAAAUGACCCCUGAAGCUCGUCUUCUUGGACGAGACCAACCUCACACCAUUCCCCCUUCAUCAAGCUCACACAAACACGACCAGUUGCAGAACAACCAUUAAUCUGUUUAAAGUCAAUCCGAACUCCAGCCAAUAACCAGUCCAAACGUUCAAGCUCUGUUUCAGCGAUGUAAAGCCAUCGGAGCUUGGUGAGUUUCUUGAGUCGGCUUUGAGUUUCCGGCGAUUUAGUUGAGUUUCUGGUCGAGUACUUGUUUGCUCGCCGAUUCGAGUUGAAGUCUCCAUUCGAGAGUCAUGGUGUCGAUGAAUUCUGUCCGAGGUCCGAUUCGCACUUCUGCUGAUUUUUUCCGGUUGAUAAUCGAUAUUUGUUGUUGAAAGCUUUCGCUCUUCAUUUGGAUAAAAAUGUAAUCCCGAAGUUCCUCUAGUCUGAAUGAAACUUUUGCCAUGAAGGUCCAUCUCUUCAUUCUCUUAUUACUCCUUUAAUUUGGUGAUAUAAAAUAAGAUAUUGAGUUUUGGUUUAUAUUGCAUUAAACAUGAAAUCUCUACUAUUGCUGUUGUUGCAUUUUCAGCUGGAACCUGUUAGUUUUACUUUGAUUGUGGUGGUGAAUGAACAUAUUAUUUUAUAUGUUUAGGAAAGCUUCACUAAGUUCUUUUAUCUUGAAUAUUCAUUUUGUUUGCGGUUGAGAUGUAAUCUUUUGUUAGGUAUGUCCUAAUUCAAUUUGCCAAAAUUACUUACGGUGUAGAUAGUUAAAUACUAUUCUCACGUUUUCAGACUCUCGUGCACAUAUUAAAAAUGAUUCUUGUGAACUUAUGUUUAGUGCAAGACAGUUUGGAAUUACUUUACGCUUAAUUGUUUAAUUCAUGUCUAAAUGUGUGGAAUGAAUUCUAUUAGCUUGAGUACUGUAUUUAUGAGAUUAAAAAAACUUUUUCUCAAUUUACCUCAAACGCCUCGUUGACAUAUAUCAUGCUAUUAUGUGUGAAUUAAUAAGAUCAUGCUCAUUAUAGAACGUAGUUUGCUUUAGUCAUGUGAUCGUGGAUACGUUCGCAUGAUACGAUUACGAUUUCUAAAAAAACAAAAUUGGAGUAUGCGUUCGCGCAACUUCGGUUAAACUUUCUUAAUAGUAAUAAAACAUUAUUAAUUGUGGACAUGUUCGCGUGACAUGAUUUUUAGCGCGCCAAACAAAUUGGUAUACGUAUGCGUAACCCGUUUCAAGAUAUUUUUUUUUUAAUUUAAAGAGGCAAAAAAAGCAAAAGUACAUAGGUCCCGAAAUCAAUAAUUAAAUUUUAAUAAGCCAAGUAUGAUCAAAGCGACCAUGCUAGAACAACGGAACUCGGGAAUGCCUAACACCUUCUCCCGGAUUAACAGAAUUCCUUACCCAGAUUUCUGUGUUCGAAGACCGUAAUUAGUGUCAAAUUUCCUCAAUUCAGGAUUUUAAACCGGUGACUUGUGACACCAUAAAUUAUUCCAAGUGGCGACUCUAAUUUUUAAUAAAAUGAUCCCAUUCCGAUCGUCACUUCAAGUUGGAAAAUAACUCCCUUUAUUAUACCCUUUCGGUGGUGUAGUAAGUGAAAAAGGAGGUGUGACAAAUGGUUCUCAUAAUUAAUAUUAAAAAGGGGCUUGAUCCUAGGACCUUGUUUCUUAGGUGCGACUAUAAAUAGUGAGCUCUAUUAUCAUUGUAAAGGGGAUGAAUUUCCUGGCAAAUGUACUGUAACGAAAUGGCUAGUUGUUUCAUGAGUUACAAUCCCUUUUCCCCCAUUUAUGCUUCUUUAUGUGUUGUUCAGCUGCAUUUGGUCAUAUCAUGUUGGUUGGUUUGGGUUUGGAGUGGUCUUGAAGUGGAAUGGGACACUUAGUCUCUAAUUUAGAAGUUUAAGUCGGAAAAGUCAAUAGGAUAUUGACUUAUAUAUAGAAGAUCUCAGAUGUGAUUUGUGAUGGUUCGGAUAGCUCCGCUAGGUGAUUUUGGUCUUAGAAGCGUGUUCGGAAUGUAAUUUAGAGGUCCGUGGUAGAAUUAGACUUGAAUUGGCGAUAUUGAAAAUUUGGAGUUUUCCAGUUGGUAGUGGAAAUCUUUAUAUUGGGGUCGGAAUGGAAUUUCAAGAGAUGGAGUUGGUCCGUAAUGUCAUUUUUAACGUCUGUCCAAAAUUUCAGGUCAUUCGGAGGUGAUUUGAUAGGUUUCAGUGCUGUUUGUGGAAUUUAAAAGUUUUUAAGUUCUUAGGCUUGAAUCCGAGGUUUAUUUGGUCUUUUGCUAUUGUUUUGAGUGAUUCGAAGGCUCGAAUAAGUUUGAAUGUUGUUAUGGGAUGUGUUGGCAUAUUUGGUUGAGUUCCCGGGGGCUUCGGGUGAGUUUUUCGCUGGCUAACAGACCGAUGCUUGAUUUUGGAAGUUGACAAAUUUUCUGGUAUUUUGUUGCAGGGAAUUCCUUCAUCGCGUUCGCGAGAGGGCUCUCGCGUUCGCAAAGAGAUGUUAAGAGGGGCAACUGGGUUGUUCUUCGCGUUCGUGAUGUAGUCUCGCAUUCAUGAAGAUUCAUUAGUUUAAGGCUACGCAUUCACGACCAGUGCAUCGCGUUCGCGUAGAGUCUACGGUUAUUUGGAGCUUUAGGCUAAUAACCCUACGCGUUCGCAUGGUGUAUUCUGCAUUUGCAUAAGGUCAAGCAAAGUGGUCCUCGCAUUCGAGAGUGGGUCCUUGCAUUCAUGAAGAAGGGGCUUUUGGUCUGAGGCAGCUUGUGCUUUCCAAACGCGAGGGUACUACCGCGUUCGCAAAGAGGGAGUCAUCUGGGCGGAAUGUUUAAGUUCAAAAAUGAGGGUUUGAGUUCAUAAUUUCAAAAUUCAAUAGAGAGCUCGGGAGAAGGCGAUUUUAGAGGGAAUUUUCAGUGUAGUGAUUAAGGUAAGUGUUCCUCAUGUGUUUUUGGUUAAAUUCCAUGAUUGUGUCUUGAUUUUUCUAACAUCUAAAUUGGGAAUUUGUGGUGAUAAUUAGGAAAAAAGUGGAGGAUAAUUGGAAAGUAAAUUUUAGGUACUUCGAUGACCAUUUGACGUUGGAUUUUGGUGAAUUUGAUAUGGGUAGACUCCUAGUGAAUGUUCUUUUUAGUUUGUGAUUUUUAUCUAAUUCCGAGACGUGGACCCGGGGGUUUGAGCCAAAUUCAAGAUUUUUGGUCUAAUUUGAUGAUUUUCGUGUGUGUUUCAUUUCUUUAGCAUAUAUUGAUGAUAAUAUACUAAUUUUGGUUAGAUUCAGAGCAUUUGGAAGCCGAAUCGAGAGGCAAGGGCAUCUGAGGUUAGAGUUUUGGCUUGGUUUAAGGUAAGUAACGCUUCUUAACUUGGUUUUGAGGGUUCGAAACCCGGAUGUUGUGCUAUAUGAUUUUUACUGAGGUGACACAAAUGCCAAGUGACGGACGAAUGGGCGUGCACCGUAAGAAUUGUGGCCAGGUUCAUUCCAUGGCACCGCUUAAUGACUCUUUCUCGCUGAUAUUUUUGUUGUCAUUAAGUAAAAGAACUAUAAAUCAUGCUAAUUAUCAUGUUAGG
rnacentral:lncRNA from 1 species